AUGAGAUUCACUUUUGUGCUUGCGGGGUGGCCUGGAUCGGUCCAUGAUAUGAGGCCAUUCAAGGAUGCUCUUAGCCGGUUUGAUCACAAGUUUCCGCAUCCACCUUCAGGGAAAUUUUAUCUUGUUGACUCGGGCUACCCCAACAAACAGGGUUAUCUUGCACCGUAUAGGGGCCAAAAGUAUCAUUUUCAAGAGUUCCAUCAAGGCACCAUGCCGAGAGGUAAAAAGGAGCACUUCAAUUAUACUCAUUCUAGACUACGCAAUGUCAUUGAGUGUUGUUUUGGAGUCUUGAAAAAUAAGUGGAGGAUUCUUUUCAAAGUACCAAGUUAUCCUCUACGCAAGCAAACAAAAAUUAUUGUGGCAUGCAUGGCCUUGCACAAUUUUAUUCGUGAAAGUCAUUUGGCGGACAAGGAAUUCGAUAGGUGUGACAAUGAUGAGAGUUAUCAACCUCUCCUUGAGGAAACAAGGAGGAGGAGGCGUCGUAACACUAGGGGUGAAGAAAUGGAGCUAGAUUCAGUGGAUAUGAAUCGAGUGAGAGAUACGAUUGUUGAUGGUUUGUUCAACAGGCGUUGA
rnacentral:rRNA from 1 species